rnacentral:rRNA from 1 species
UACAGAGGGUGCGAGCGUUGUCCGGAAUCACUGGGCGUAAAGGGCGCGUAGGCGGUCUCUUAAGCGUGUGGUGAAAGCCCGGGGCUCAACUCCGGGUCGGCCGUGCGAACUGGGGGACUGGAGCUUGUCAGAGGCAGGCGGAAUUCCGGGUGUAGCGGUGGAAUGCGUAGAGAUCCGGAAGAACACCGGUGGCGAAGGCGGCCUGCUGGGCAGUUGCUGACACUGAGGCGCGACAGCGUGGGGAGCAAACAGG